rnacentral:rRNA from 1 species
GGCGGUAAAUUUAUUUUAGAGGAACUUGCUUAAUAAUUGACUUUACCCAUUAUAUUUAGCUUUGUUGAGUUUAUUUAUCUCCGUUAUUAGGAUUCUUUAUUUGAUAAAAUUUUCUUAUUAGAUUUCAGGUCAAGAUGUGGCUUAAUAAAGUUGGAGUGAGUUACAUUUUAGGUUUAUUGGAUUAAGGAUUUGGAUUUUUUAUGAAAAUGGAUUUAAAAGUAAUUUUUUUUAAGUAUGAGAGGAUGAAUAUUAAUUAAUUUAUGUACACAUC